GGUUUGCUCCGGCUGGAGGGAUUCCUGGCAGAGUGAUUUGGUUCUGAUGUCAUGUAAAUCACAUUGCCAGGGAUUUCCAACCAGCUAGAGCUGGAACU
ensembl:miRNA mir23a-2 microRNA mir-23a-2